rnacentral:misc_RNA from 1 species
AAAAAGCCAAUUGGUGAUUCAACUUCUGAGGGUGAAGUAUCAAAAGUUUCAAUUGGAGCCUGUAAACAAGAAGAUAUUAGCUCAGCCAAAAGCGAUAUAUUUGAUUCAGACAGUCCACAUUAUACUGAUGGGGUUCACUCUUCACUCUUAGAGGCCUGUGAUUCUUCAUAUGUUUUUGAACCAGACCAAUCUGAUUUAUCCCAAGAUGAAGAAGAUAAUUUAAGCAAGAGUCUAUGGCCUCCAUAUGUCUUUCCAAAGCUCGAAGAUGCUGAUUACUCUGAACCGCCUGCCAGUUUUGAAGAUCAAUCCUUCUGGUGCUGGUCAUACUAAAUUAUUCCUGGUAUAUGUGUAUCUUUGUUGUUUGUCUUCUGGUUCAAGGCUUCAUGGUAGGGGUGAUUGCAAAUAAGUAAUAAAUCCAAUGGACAUCCCAAUCCAAAUGUGAUACUGGGUUUUGCUUUGAUUCGGGAAGUUGGUUUUUACCCCUCUGUAAUCUUGAUUUUCUAAAGGGUUUUAGAGUUCAACGGAACUUUCAUGUACGGUUGUAAUUAAAUAAUAGCUUUUCAUUCUAU